GGUGUAGGUGGCUGAGUAAGUCAGAAGUGAAAGCCCCGGGCUUAACCCGGGAAGUGCUUUUAAAACUACUCAACUUGAGUGUGGGAGAGGAUAGUAGAAUUCCUGGUGUAGUGGUGAAAUACGUAGAUAUCAGGAGGAAUACCGGUGAGGAAGCUGGCUAUCUGGCCCAACACUGACACUCAGACCCGAAAGCGUGGGGAGCAAACAGGAUUAGAUACCCUGGUAGUCC
rnacentral:rRNA from 1 species